CAGAGUUGCAAAACUCCCAAACCAUUGUGAACGUUACCCAUCCCGUUGCUUCGGCGGGCGGCCCGGGCCCCGCGCCCGGCGCCCCCGGCCCCACUCGGGCGCCCGCCGGAGGAAAACCGAACCCUUGAACUGUAUGGCCUCUCUGAGUCUUCUGUACUGAAUAAGUCA
rnacentral:misc_RNA from 1 species